rnacentral:rRNA from 1 species
UACGGAGGGGGCUAGCGUUGUUCGGAAUUACUGGGCGUAAAGCGCGUGUAGGCGGCUAAGUAAGUCGGGCGUGAAAUCCCACGGCUCAACCGUGGAAGUGCACUCGAAACUGCAUAGCUAGAGUCCUGGAGAGGAAGGUGGAAUGCUUGGUGUAGAGGUGAAAUUCGUAGAUAUCAAGCGGAACACCGGUGGCGAAGGCGGCCUUCUGGACAGUGACUGACGCUGAGACGCGAAAAGCGUGGGGAGCAAACAGG